AUUGAACGCUGGCGGCAUGCCUUACACAUGCAAGUCGAACGGCAGCACGGGUGCUUGCACCUGGUGGCGAGUGGCGAACGGGUGAGUAAUAUAUCGGAACGUACCUUAUCGUGGGGGAUAACGCAGCGAAAGCUGUGCUAAUACCGCAUAAGCCCUAAGGGGGAAAGCAGGGGACCGUAAGGCCUUGCGCGAUUAGAGCGGCCGAUACCUGAUUAGCUAGUUGGUGAGGUAAAGGCUCACCAAGGCAACGAUCAGUAGCUGGUCUGAGAGGACGAUCAGCCGCGCUGGGACUGAGACACGGCCCAGACUCCUACGGGAGGCAGCAGUGGGGAAUUUUGGACAAUGGGGGCAACCCUGAUCCAGCAAUGCCGCGUGAGUGAAGAAGGCCUUCGGGUUGUAAAGCUCUUUUGUCAGGGAAGAAACAGCAGCUCUAAUACAGUAUGCGAAUGACGGUACCUGAAGAAUAAGCACCGGCUAACUACGUGCCAGCCGCCGCGGUAA
rnacentral:rRNA from 1 species